GGCUGGUCUGAAGGUAGUACAUUAUCUCAACUGAUUAUACAGCCAGUUAGAGAUAAAACUCUUCGUUGUCCUCUUUCUGCCUUCUCACUACUGCAUUUGACUUGUCUUAA
rnacentral:Y_RNA from 1 species